GAUGAACGCUAGCUACAGACUUAACACAUGCAAGUCGAGGGGUAACGAGAGGAAAGCUUGCUUUCCUUGUCGACGGCCGGCGCACGGGUGAGUAACGCGUAUCCAACCUGCCCCCAACUAGGGAAUAACCUUGCGAAAGUAAGACUAAUACCCUAUAAUUUCCUCAGAUGUCAUCUGACGAGGAAUAAAGCUUUAUCGGUUCUGGAUGGGGAUGCGUUUGAUUAGCUUGUUGGCGGGGUAACGGCACACAAAGGCAACGCUGAGAAGGGGUUCUGAGAGGAAGGUCCCCCACAUUGUAACUGAGACACGGUCCAAACUCCUACGGGAGGCAGCAGUGAGGAAUAUUGGCCAAUGGGCGGAAGCCUGAACCAGCCAAGUAGCGUGCAGGAUGACGGCCCUAUGGGUUGUAAACUGCUUUUAUACAGGAAUAAAGUUAGCCACGUGUGGUUAUUUGUAGGUACUGUAUGAAUAAGGACCGGCUAAUUCCGUGCCAGCAGCCGCCGUAA
rnacentral:rRNA from 1 species